GUGCCAUACCACAAAGAUUAGAAAACUGAAUUUCAUAACUGACAAUUAUUUUUAAGUCAGUGAACUAAUAGUUUCAUCCACCAUAUUGUGAUAACGCUACGAUCUGACACCAUGACGACUCGUGUUUUUCUUGUGUGCUUGGCAACUUUUUGCUGGAGCGGUACAAUGUCAAGUUCCCACUAAGGAUCCCUAUUCGGAAUUUAUCUGUCAUCGUUUGGAGAACGAAGUUUGCACCAGCCACAAAGUUGAUGAAAGAUGUGGAAGCGAUAAUGUCACGUACAGAAAUGGGUGCGAGCUUGGCAAAGCAUACUGUGCCAAUGACCACAUCCAUCAGGCACACAAAGGUCCAUGUACAAAUGAUCCACAUGCUACCAGAAGUACAGAGGAAGUUAAACAUGCCAGUGAAAUUAUGCACGAGUUCGAAUGCAUUUACCUGAGUCAUCGUUCCUGCGAACCAGCUGUAAACGAGAAAGUGUGUGGCACAGACGGAUAUACGUACCCGUCAUUUUGUGAAUACCAGAAAGCGAAGUGCACACACAUGGACCUUCACGUUGCAAAGAUUGGGGACUGCACUGCCUAACUAUUUUGACUAUCCCAGCUAUAUACGCAUGUUUGAUACCAUACUAAUAAAUACGUAUAUUUGUG
rnacentral:lncRNA from 1 species